CGGCGUGCUUAACACAUGCAAGUCGAACGCUGAAGCCUGGCUUUUGUUGGGUGGAUGAGUGGCGAACGGGUGAGUAACACGUGAGUAMCCUGCCCCCUUCUUUGGGAUAACGCCCGGAAACGGGUGCUAAUACKGGAUAUUCACUGGUCUUSGCAUGGGGGUUGGUGGAAAGGGUUUUCUGGUGGGGGAUGGGCUCGCGGCCUAUCAGCUUGUUGGUGGGGUGAUGGCCUACCAAGGCUUUGACGGGUAGCCGGCCUGAGAGGGUGMCCGGUCACAUUGGGAYUGAGAUACGGCCCAGACUCCUACGGGAGGCAGCAGUGGGGAAUAUUGCACAAUGGGCGCAAGCCUGAUGCAGCGACGCCGCGUGAGGGAUGGAGGCCUUCGGGUUGUGAACCUCUUUCGCUCAUGGUCAAGCCGCA
rnacentral:rRNA from 1 species